UACGGAGGGGGCUAGCGUUGUUCGGAAUUACUGGGCGUAAAGCGCGCGUAGGCGGACCUGCAAGUCGGGGGUGAAAGCCCGAGGCUCAACCUCGGAACUGCCUUCGAUACUGCGGGUCUCGAGUCCGGGAGAGGGUAGUGGAAUUCCCGGUGUAGUGGUGAAAUGCGUAGAUAUCGGGAGGAACACCAGUGGCGAAGGCGACUACCUGGCCUGUUCUUGACGCUGAGGCGCGAAAGCUAGGGGAGCAAACGGG
rnacentral:rRNA from 1 species